rnacentral:rRNA from 1 species
UACGUAGGGGGGCAAGCGUUGUCCGGAAUUAUUGGGCGUAAAGAGCUCGUAGGCGGUCUGUCACGUCGGCUGUGAAAACCCGAGGCUCAACCUCGGGCCUGCAGUCGAUACGGGCAAACUAGAGUACUGCAGGGGAGACUGGAAUUCCUGGUGUAGCGGUGAAAUGCGCAGAUAUCAGGAAGAACACCGGUGGCGAAGGCGGCUCUCUGGGCCUUACCUGACGCUGAGGAGCGAAAGCGUGGGUAGCGAACAGG